UACAGAGGUCCCAAGCGUUGUUCGGAUUCAUUGGGCGUAAAGGGUGCGUAGGUGGCGCCGUAAGUCAGGUGUGAAAUCUCGGGGCUUAACUCCGAAACUGCAUUUGAUACUGCGGUGCUUGAGGACUGGAGAGGAGACUGGAAUUUACGGUGUAGCAGUGAAAUGCGUAGAGAUCGUAAGGAAGACCAGUGGCGAAGGCGGGUCUCUGGACAGUUCCUGACACUGAGGCACGAAGGCCAGGGGAGCAAACGGGG
rnacentral:rRNA from 1 species